rnacentral:rRNA from 1 species
CGGUAAUACGUAGGGUCCGAGCGUUGUCCGGAAUUACUGGGCGUAAAGAGCUCGUAGGUGGUUUGUCGCGUUGUUCGUGAAAACUCACAGCUUAACUGUGGGCGUGCGGGCGAUACGGGCAGACUUGAGUACUGCAGGGGAGACUGGAAUUCCUGGUGUAGCGGUGGAAUGCGCAGAUAUCAGGAGGAACACCGGUGGCCGAAGGCGGGUCUCUGGGCAGUAACUGACGCUGAGGAGCGAAAGCGUGGGGAGCGAACAGGAUUAGAUACCCUGGUAGUCCACGCCGUAAACGGUGGGUACUAGGUGUGGGUUUCCUUCCUUGGGAUCCGUG